rnacentral:rRNA from 1 species
UGGGGAAUAUUGCGCAAUGGGGGAAACCCUGACGCAGCGACGUCGCGUGAAUGAAGAAGUCUUUCGGGAUGUAAAGUUCUGUCAGCAGGGACGAUAAUGACGGUACCUGCAGAGGAAGCUCCGGCUAAUUAUGUGCCAGCAGCCGCGGUAAUACAUAAGGAGCGAGCGUUAUCCGGAUUUACUGGGCGUAAAGGGCGCGUAGGCUGUCAUAUAAGUCAGGUGUGAAAUACUUCGGCUCAACCGGAGAAAUGCGCUUGAUACUGUAUGGCUAGAGAAUGGGAGAGGAAAGUGGAAUUCACGGUGUAGCGGUGAAAUGCGUAGAUAUCGUGAAGAACACCAGUUGCGAAGGCGGCUUUCUGGUCCAUAUCUGACGCUGAGGCGCGAAAGCGUGGGGAGCAAACAGG